CGAACGCUGGCGGCGUGGAUUAGGCAUGCAAGUCGAGCGAGAAAGUCCCCUUCGGGGGGCGAGUAAAGCGGCGAAAGGGUGAGUAAUGAAUAGACAACUUACCCUCGAGUUUGGGAUAACUCGCCGAAAGGCGAGCUAAUACCGGAUGGUAUCUGCUUAGCAUAGGCUUUGCAGAUUAAAGGUGGGGAUCUUCGGACCUGCCGCUCGAGGAGAGGUCUAUUUCCUAUCAGCUAGUUGGUGAGGUAACGGCUCACCAAGGUGACGACGGGUAGCCGGCCUGAGAGGGUGUCCGGCCACACUGGGACUGAGACACUGCCCAGACUCCUACGGGAGGCUGCAGUCGAGAAUCUUCCGCAAUGGGCGAAAGCCUGACGGAGCGACGCCGCGUGAAGGAUGAAGGCCUUCGGGUUGUAAACUUCUGUCAAUCGUUAAGAAAUGCAUCGGGGUCAAUACCCGCGGUGUUUGACGUAAGCGAUAAAGGAAGCCACGGCUAACUAC
rnacentral:rRNA from 1 species